rnacentral:rRNA from 1 species
AUUGAACGCUGGCGGCAGGCUUAACACAUGCAAGUCAAGCGGGGGAAGGUAGCUUGCUACCGGACCUAGCGGCGGACGGGUGAGUAAUGCUUAGGAAUCUGCCUAUUAGUGGGGGACAACAUCUCGAAAGGGAUGCUAAUACCGCAUACGUCCUACGGGAGAAAGCAGGGGAUCUUCGGACCUUGCGCUAAUAGAUGAGCCUAAGUCGGAUUAGCUAGUUGGUGGGGUAAAGGCCUACCAAGGCGACGAUCUGUAGCGGGUCUGAGAGGAUGAGCCGCCACACUGGGACUGGAACACGGCCCAGACUCCUACGGGAGGGAGCAAUGGGGAAUAUUGGACAAUGGGGGGAACCCUGAUCCAGCCAUGCCGCGUGUGUGAAGAAGGCCUUAUGGUUGUAAAGCACUUUAAGCGAGGAGGAGGCUACUCUAGUUAAUACCUAGGGAUAGUGGACGUUACUCGCAGAAUAAGCACCGGCUAACUCUGUGCCAGCCGCCGCCGUAA